GAUGAAGAACGUAGCGAAAUGCGAUAAGUAAUGUGAAUUGCAGAAUUCAGUGAAUCAUCGAAUCUUUGAACGCACAUUGCGCCCCCUGGUAUUCCGGGGGGCAUGCCUGUCCGAGCGUCAUUACAACCCUCAAGCUCAGCUUGGUGUUGGGCCCCGCCGCCCCGGCGGGCCCUAAAGUCAGUGUCGGUGCCGUCCGGCUCCGAGCGUAGUAAUUCUUCUCGCUCUGGAGGUCCGGUCGUGUGCUCGCCAGCAACCCCCAAUUUUUUUCAGGUUGACCUCGGAUCAGGUAGGGAUACCCGCUGAACUUAAGCAUAUCAAUAAGCGGAGGA
rnacentral:misc_RNA from 1 species